AGAGAUGGAAUAUUUCUAGUGCGCGUAUUUCGGUCUCGCCAGGCGUCUCGUGGAACGGCUCAUUUUCUCGUAGGUAUCUGGCACAAUCUCAUUUAUCACAGAAUUAGUCGCUAAUUGUAGGUGUCUACAAUGUACUGAGCGUGAUGGAAUACCACUGAUUGAACGACAACGAUUACUUAAGCACUAUUAUGCCGAGAGAAUAAAAAUAAUAUGUCUCGGCACUCAAGCAUCCCGUCGUAUUUUUUUAGGAAGCACUUAAAGAGUUUCUUCUACAUUGAGGGGCUUGGAGGACAUGACGCAAGAUGAGUGCAGUUUUUGAAAAAAGUGAUAUAUUGAUUAUUUCAGUUAAACUACCUAGUCUUACUUCAUAUUCUGUGAAAAAUUCGAUCCCAAACGUCCAUUUUUAAGCAUCAAUAAGUCAGUUUGAACUCUCUUUCCGCCAUAAAGGAUCUAUGUGAUUUCGCAACUUCAAACACACUGCGGGAGACUAAACAAAUUUGUCGGGGUGUGUACGGUUAGAAACAUUUGAGGUGCUUCUUCACUUCCACACCUAUUCCAGCAGAGGUAGAGUACAAGGGUCCACUCGUCCAAUGAAGACGAGUAAAUGGUAGUAAUUUUGAGGGCGUAAAAAGGCAGAAUGGAACGCAACAGGCGCAAUGAGUGUCGGAGGAACUCCUGCCAACGGGCCAACAGUUGCUACGGUAGAGCGGAAGUUGAGAAGUAAAUUAAAUAGAGCUUGUGCCUCAACACCUUGAACACAAACCAAUGAUUCGGGAGUUCCAUCAAUAUUUGCCUCAUUCUGAAUCAUGGUUUCAUCCUGUAAAAAAUCUUAAAUAAAAUGGUAUCCCUCUCUUUGGA